GAUGAACGCUAGCGGCAGGCCUAAUACAUGCAAGUCGAACGGGAUCCAGAUCAAAGCUUGCUUUGGUCUGGUGAGAGUGGCGCACGGGUGCGUAACGCGUGAGCAACCUACCCUUGUCAGGGGGAUAGCCCGGCGAAAGUCGGAUUAAUACCGCAUGACAUCAUUGAGAGGCAUCUUUCGAUGAUCAAAGAUUUAUCGGACAAGGAUGGGCUCGCGUGACAUUAGCUGGUUGGUAAGGUAACGGCUUACCAAGGAUGCGAUGUCUAGGGGCUCUGAGAGGGGGAUACCCCAGACUGGUACUGAGGCACGGACCAGAAUCCUACGGGAGGCAGCAGUAAGGAAUAUUGGUCAAUGGACGGAAGUCUGAACCAGCCAUGCCGCGGGCAGGAAGACGGCGCUAUGGGUUGUAAACUGCUUUUAUACGGGAACAAACGUCGGUACGUGUACCGGUCUGAGUGUACCGUAAGAAUAAGGAACGGCUAACUCCGUG
rnacentral:rRNA from 1 species